rnacentral:sRNA from 1 species
GGGGGCCGAAGGGGGAGGGCCUCACUUGGGACCCAUACCUGCUGCUCCCUGGACAGACCAUCUGGAUCACAUCAAGGAGGUGGCAGGAGCCGGAGCCGUGGGUUUUGGUGGGGACUUUGAUGGUGUUCCAAGGGUCCCUGAGGGGCUGGAGGACGUCUCCAAGUAUCCAGACCUGAUCGCUGAGCUGCUCAGGAGGAACUGGACGGAGGCGGAGGUCAAGGGCGCACUGGCUGACAACCUGCUGAGGGUCUUCGAGGCUGUGGAACAGGUGAGGACGGGGUGGCCACCCGAGUCUCCCCCACCACCACCAGCAGGCAGGCUGCCCCACCUGUGUCUGUCUGUCCUCAGGCCAGCAACCUCACACAGGCUCCCGAGGAGGAGCCCAUCCCGCUGGACCAGCUGGGCGGCUCCUGCAGGACCCAUUACGGCUACUCCUCUGGGGCUUCCAGCCUCCAUCGCCACUGGGGGCUCCUGCUGGCCUCCCUCGCUCCCCUGGUCCUCUGUCUGUCUCUCCUGUGAAACCUGGGAGACCAGAGUCCCCUUUAGGGUUCCCGGAGCUCCGGGAAGACCCGCCCAUCCCAGGACUCCAGAU